AAAAGGAACCUAAUGGAUCGUACACCGUGUAAGGUGGAGAUUGAAUAAACAAUGGAGAUGAGUAAGAAUAAUUAAAUGGUUUAAUUAUUUAUGGCAAGGAUUAAUUAAUAUGUUAAUUAAUUAAAAGAAUAAGUUCGUUAAAGACCUCGGGAUAGUUUUGGACCUUAAGGCCCAAUGGGCUUCGAACUUCAAGCCCAUUGACUUAAGUUGUAUGACAACUUAAUUCACAAAGGCCCAAAAAGCCCAAACAAAACCCUAU
rnacentral:lncRNA from 1 species